AUUGAGUCAGGAAGAUGUUGUUGCUACGAAGACAGACCCGAGUCCCAGGUGUUUGUGACGCUCUCGUGUUGAGGAAGGUAAAGCGAAUAUAAAAGUCGGCACCAGACUCUCCACGCGAUGGGACGUGACGCCCGUGAAAGGUCGACGCGUCACCAUGACAACAGAAGCGGGCUCUGAGACCGAGGUGAAGGAGAAAGCCGAGGAGCCGGCCACUCAGCCGGACCAAUCGGAGAAGGCCGCGGACGAGGCCCAGGAAGUAGCCAGC
ensembl:lncRNA